rnacentral:tRNA from 1 species
GCCGGGAUGGCGGAAUGGUAGACGCAGUGGACUCAAAAUCCACCGGGGGCAACCUCGUGAGAGUUCGAGUCUCUCUCCCGGCACCA